UACAGAGGAUGCAAGCGUUAUCCGGAAUGAUUGGGCGUAAAGCGUCUGUAGGUGGCUUUUUAAGUCCGCCGUCAAAUCCCAGGGCUCAACUCUGGACAGGCGGUGGACACUACCAAGCUGGAGUACGGUAGGGGCAGAGGGAAUUUCCGGUGGAGCGGUGAAAUGCGUAGAGAUCGGAAAGAACACCAACGGCGAAAGCACGCUGGUGGGCCGACACUGACACUGAGAGACGAAAGCUAGGGGAGCGAAUGGG
rnacentral:rRNA from 1 species